rnacentral:rRNA from 1 species
AGAGUUUGAUCAUGGCUCAGGACGAACGCUGGCGGUGUGCUUAAGACAUGCAAGUCGUGCGGACCGUAGCAAUACGGUCAGCGGCGGACGGGUGAGUAACACGUGGAUAACCUGCCUGGCUCCCCGGGAUAACAGGCCGAAAGGCCUGCUAAUACCGGGUAAGCUCACGGGGCCGCAUGGUCCUGGGAGAAAAGCUCCUGCAAGGGAGUGGGGUCAGAGGGGUCCGCGGCCCAUUAGCUAGUUGGGGGGGUAACGGCCCACCAAGGCGACGAUGGGUAGCCGGCCUGAGAGGGCGACCGGCCACACUGGGACUGAGACACGGCCCAGACUCCUACGGGAGGCAGCAGUCGGGAAUUUUGGGCAAUGGCCGAAAGGGCUGACCCAGCAACACCGCGUGAGUGAAGAAGGCCUUCGGGUUGUAAAGCUCUGUUGCCCGUGAAGAACGGUGCUUUCAGGAAAUGGGAAGCACUUGACGGUAGCGGGUGAGGAAGCUCCGGCUAACUACGUGCCAGCAGCCGCGGUAAUACGUAGGGAGCGAGCGUUGUCCGGAUUUAUUGGGCGUAAAGGGCGUGUAGGCGGCUUUUUAAGUCUGAAGUGAAACGCCAGGGCUCAACCCUGGAACUGCUUCGGAUACUGGGAAGCUUGAGUACUCUAGAGGGCAGUGGAAUUCCGGGUGUAGCAGUGAAAUGCGUAGAGAUCCGGAGGAACACCAGUGGCGAAGGCGACUGCCUGGGGAGAAACUGACGCUGAGGCGCGAAAGCUGGGGGAGCAAACGGGAUUAGAUACCCCGGUAGUCCCAGCCGUAAACGAUGAGUGCUAGGUGUAGGGGGUAUCGACCCCCCCUGUGCCGGAGUUAACGCAAUAAGCACUCCGCCUGGGGAGUACGGCCGCAAGGUUGAAACUCAAAUGAAUUGACGG